rnacentral:rRNA from 1 species
GGGUUGUGAGGUUAAGCGACUAAGCGUACACGGUGGAUGCCCUGGCAGUCAGAGGCGAUGAAGGACGUGCUAAUCUGCGAUAAGCGUCGGUAAGGUGAUAUGAACCGUUAUAACCGGCGAUUUCCGAAUGGGGAAACCCAGUGUGAUUCGUCACACUAUCAUUAACUGAAUCCAUAGGUUAAUGAGGCGAACCGGGGGAACUGAAACAUCUAAGUACCCCGAGGAAAAGAAAUCAACCGAGAUUCCCCCAGUAGCGGCGAGCGAACGGGGAGCAGCCCAGAGCCUGAAUCAGUGUGUGUGUUAGUGGAAGCGUCUGGAAAGGCGCGCGAUACAGGGUGACAGCCCCGUACACAAAAAUGCACAUGCUGUGAGCUCGAUGAGUAGGGCGGGACACGUGGUAUCCUGUCUGAAUAUGGGGGGACCAUCCUCCAAGGCUAAAUACUCCUGACUGACCGAUAGUGAACCAGUACCGUGAGGGAAAGGCGAAAAGAACCCCGGCGAGGGGAGUGAAAAAGAACCUGAAACCGUGUACGUACAAGCAGUGGGAGCACAGAGCAAUCUGUGUGACUGCGUACCUUUUGUAUAAUGGGUCAGCGACUUAUAUUCUGUAGCAAGGUUAACCGAAUAGGGGAGCCGAAGGGAAACCGAGUCUUAACUGGGCGUUAAGUUGCAGGGUAUAGACCCGAAACCCGGUGAUCUAGCCAUGGGCAGGUUGAAGGUUGGGUAACACUAACUGGAGGACCGAACCGACUAAUGUUGAAAAAUUAGCGGAUGACUUGUGGCUGGGGGUGAAAGGCCAAUCAAACCGGGAGAUAGCUGGUUCUCCCCGAAAGCUAUUUAGGUAGCGCCUCGUGAAUUCAUCUCCGGGGGUAGAGCACUGUUUCGGCAAGGGGGUCAUCCCGACUUACCAACCCGAUGCAAACUGCGAAUACCGGAGAAUGUUAUCACGGGAGACACACGGCGGGUGCUAACGUCCGUCGUGAAGAGGGAAACAACCCAGACCGCCAGCUAAGGUCCCAAAGUCAUGGUUAAGUGGGAAACGAUGUGGGAAGGCCCAGACAGCCAGGAUGUUGGCUUAGAAGCAGCCAUCAUUUAAAGAAAGCGUAAUAGCUCACUGGUCGAGUCGGCCUGCGCGGAAGAUGUAACGGGGCUAAACCAUGCACCGAAGCUGCGGCAGCGACACUAUGUGUUGUUGGGUAGGGGAGCGUUCUGUAAGCCUGUGAAGGUGUACUGUGAGGUAUGCUGGAGGUAUCAGAAGUGCGAAUGCUGACAUAAGUAACGAUAAAGCGGGUGAAAAGCCCGCUCGCCGGAAGACCAAGGGUUCCUGUCCAACGUUAAUCGGGGCAGGGUGAGUCGACCCCUAAGGCGAGGCCGAAAGGCGUAGUCGAUGGGAAACAGGUUAAUAUUCCUGUACUUGGUGUUACUGCGAAGGGGGGACGGAGAAGGCUAUGUUGGCCGGGCGACGGUUGUCCCGGUUUAAGCGUGUAGGCUGGUUUUCCAGGCAAAUCCGGAAAAUCAAGGCUGAGGCGUGAUGACGAGGCACUACGGUGCUGAAGCAACAAAUGCCCUGCUUCCAGGAAAAGCCUCUAAGCAUCAGGUAACAUCAAAUCGUACCCCAAACCGACACAGGUGGUCAGGUAGAGAAUACCAAGGCGCUUGAGAGAACUCGGGUGAAGGAACUAGGCAAAAUGGUGCCGUAACUUCGGGAGAAGGCACGCUGAUAUGUAGGUGAAGUCCCUCGCGGAUGGAGCUGAAAUCAGUCGAAGAUACCAGCUGGCUGCAACUGUUUAUUAAAAACACAGCACUGUGCAAACACGAAAGUGGACGUAUACGGUGUGACGCCUGCCCGGUGCCGGAAGGUUAAUUGAUGGGGUCAGCGCAAGCGAAGCUCUUGAUCGAAGCCCCGGUAAACGGCGGCCGUAACUAUAACGGUCCUAAGGUAGCGAAAUUCCUUGUCGGGUAAGUUCCGACCUGCACGAAUGGCGUAAUGAUGGCCAGGCUGUCUCCACCCGAGACUCAGUGAAAUUGAACUCGCUGUGAAGAUGCAGUGUACCCGCGGCAAGACGGAAAGACCCCGUGAACCUUUACUAUAGCUUGACACUGAACAUUGAGCCUUGAUGUGUAGGAUAGGUGGGAGGCUUUGAAGUGUGGACGCCAGUCUGCAUGGAGCCGACCUUGAAAUACCACCCUUUAAUGUUUGAUGUUCUAACGUUGACCCGUGAUCCGGGUUGCGGACAGUGUCUGGUGGGUAGUUUGACUGGGGCGGUCUCCUCCUAAAGAGUAACGGAGGAGCACGAAGGUUGGCUAAUCCUGGUCGGACAUCAGGAGGUUAGUGCAAUGGCAUAAGCCAGCUUGACUGCGAGCGUGACGGCGCGAGCAGGUGCGAAAGCAGGUCAUAGUGAUCCGGUGGUUCUGAAUGGAAGGGCCAUCGCUCAACGGAUAAAAGGUACUCCGGGGAUAACAGGCUGAUACCGCCCAAGAGUUCAUAUCGACGGCGGUGUUUGGCACCUCGAUGUCGGCUCAUCACAUCCUGGGGCUGAAGUAGGUCCCAAGGGUAUGGCUGUUCGCCAUUUAAAGUGGUACGCGAGCUGGGUUUAGAACGUCGUGAGACAGUUCGGUCCCUAUCUGCCGUGGGCGCUGGAGAACUGAGGGGGGCUGCUCCUAGUACGAGAGGACCGGAGUGGACGCAUCACUGGUGUUCGGGUUGUCAUGCCAAUGGCACUGCCCGGUAGCUAAAUGCGGAAGAGAUAAGUGCUGAAAGCAUCUAAGCACGAAACUUGCCCCGAGAUGAGUUCUCCCUGACUCCUUGAGAGUCCUGAAGGAACGUUGAAGACGACGACGUUGAUAGGCCGGGUGUGUAAGCGCAGCGAUGCGUUGAGCUAACCGGUACUAAUGAACCGUGAGGCUUAACCUUACAACGCCGAAGGUGUUU